rnacentral:rRNA from 1 species
GGUGAGUAACACGUAAACAACCUGCCUUCAGGAUGGGGACAACAGACGGAAACGACUGCUAAUACCGAAUACCUUCCAAUUUCCGCAUGGAGAUAGGAAGAAAGGGUGGCCUCUACUUGUAAGCUAUCGCCUGAAGAGGGGUUUGCGUCUGAUUAGCUGGUUGGUGAGGUAACGGCCCACCAAGGCGACGAUCAGUAGCCGGUCUGAGAGGAUGAACGGCCACACUGGAACUGAGACACGGUCCAGACUCC